rnacentral:rRNA from 1 species
CCCUUAGAUGUUCUGGGCCGCACGCGCGCUACACUGAUGCAUUCAACAAGCCUAGCCUUGAACGAGAGGUCCGGGUAAUCUUUGAAACUGCAUCGUGAUGGGGCUAGAUUAUUGCAAUUAUUAAUCUUCAACGAGGAAUGCCUAGUAAGCGUGAUUCAUCAAAUCGCGUUGAUUACGUCCCUGCCCUUUGUACACACCGCCCGUCGCUCCUACCGAUUGAAUGUGUUGGUGAGGAGCUCGGAUUGGCAGCAGUUGGUGGUUCGCCACCGGCUAUUGCUGAGAAGUCCUCCAAACCGCCCCAUUUAGAGGAAGGAGAAGUCGUAACA